rnacentral:rRNA from 1 species
CUUAGAAGCAGCCACCAUUUAAAGAGUGCGUAAUAGCUCACUAGUCGAGUGACCCUGCGCCGAAAAUGUACCGGGGCUAAAUAGUUUACCGAAGCUGUGGAGUGCACCAUCAGGUGCAUUGGUAGGAGAGCGUUCUAAGGGCGUUGAAGGCAGAUCGUGAGGACUGCUGGAGCGCUUAGAAGUGAGAAUGCCGGUAUGAGUAGCGAAAGACAGGUGAGAAUCCUGUCCACCGAAUGACUAAGGUUUCCUGGGGAAGGCUCGUCCGCCCAGGGUUAGUCGGGACCUAAGCCGAGGCCGACAGGCGUAGGCGAUGGACAACAGGUUGAUAUUCCUGUACCCGUUGUUUUUGUUUGAGCAAUGGAGGGACGCAGGAGGCUAAGAAGUGCAGACUGAUGGAUAUGUCUGUUCAAGCAGUAAGUCUUGGUAGGAGUCAAAUGCUUCUACCUAUACGGACAAGCUGUGAUGAGGAGGGAAAUAAUAGUACCGAAGCUUCUGAUGUCACACUGCCAAGAAAAGCUUCUAGUGAGAAAACAACGGCCCGUACCGCAAACCGA